GAAAAAUGAGAUCAAAUUAACUAAGUCACAUAUGGAGUAAGCAGGAGAGAUGGGCUUUGAACCUUUUAUACUAAAUCUAGCUAUCUUUUUACCAUCCUGUAAGAAAAAAUUCUACUCUCUCCAAAAUAUUUAGUUAGGCACCAUGAAUCAAGGGAAAUUUGGCCCAAUUUUUUAGCUUUUCAUGUGUCCCUUAAUUGUGGUCUAAGAAACAUCACUCAUAGAACUAGAGAAAGGAAGGAACCAGUUCAAAGGAGGAAGAAAAGGCUCAGAAAAGGUAAGCAGUUUGUCUUAGGUUAUACAAUUAGUUCAUAUCAGAGCUAGGAGAGAAAUUAAAUCUUGACUAAACAUCUGGAGUUUUCAAGUCUUAGGGGAAAAAACCAUAUGAUUGUUUAGUUCCUGUUGCUCUUUGAUCUUUUUUUUUCCUGGACUGAAGAAAUGAGUUGUGUCAGUGGCCCAAAGAAGCAUUUAUUAUAGAUGUCACAGCCCUCCUUAUUUUGUGCUAAAAAAGGUUGUAUAUGGAACAACAAUCAAGGGAUUUAUAAAGCCAGGCUCACAAUAAAGAUCUUUUGAAAUUUAAAAAAAAUUUACAUCUAAAAGUAAUAAAAUACAAAGAUAACCAAAAGAUUACAAAUGAUAGAUUACAAAAGAUUACAAAUAAAAAAGAUUUUUUGCUUUUGUUUUUCUUUACCAUGAACAUAAACAGUUUGAUUCUCCAAUUGCAUUUCUGGAAUUGGUAGAAUUGGUGUGUUAGUUCUUGAAUUUUAGUGGCUGAAAGGACCUUCAUCCAUUCUACGUGUCUUGGUACAGUAUUAAGUCUCAGUUAUUUCAAACAAAAGCAGAUACAUCACAAGUAGUUUAAAAAGAGGGAUUCUGGCUAUCUGGGAAAAGAUUUUAUGGAAUUUCCUCCAUUGUCCAUAGGCUACAGUUUGCACUGAAUUUGCUCAUAGGCAUGAUACAAAUCUGCUUAUCCUUCUGGAAGUAAAUAGUUUGAUAUUAGAAACUGAAGUCAAUUCUUUCUGGGUAACAUGCAGAUUUAUGUUGCGCCUUUCCCCUUUAAACACAGAAAUUGAGUUAGUGAGCAGGGAAUAGAGUAGAGAAAGUAAGGAACCAUAUUCAUGUGAUACAUAGCUAGGAAAUUACACUGGACAAAUUCUAACAUAAAGGAGGCUAAUUUUGAUGACAGAACAUGAAUAUUCUCCCCCCCCCCCUCCCCAGCAUCACCACCAAAUUAAUGGACCCAAAGCUCUUUUCAGAAGGGAAUAGGUUUCAAGGUAAUUAUCUUUACCUCUCUAAUACUGUUUCUUUCUAUGAAAAGCAGAUUGUUUGGAUUUUUUUGUGGGGGAGGGGAGCGGCUUUCAUCAUCACUUAAAAAGUCAGGAUAGGGCAGAUAGAGCAUUGGUUAAGUAAAUACAUUUACAUGUCUACUGAGCUUCUCAGGAAAGUACUUAGACCCUUCUGAAGAGUCAGGAUUUUUCAUGAGUCAUUAAAAAAAAUCUGUGUAACCUGAGUUAACACAUGAAUUGUAACCAGUGUAUAUUACAAGGUGACCUUAUAAAACAAUGUGCCUCCAAAUUCUGGACAGAGCAUUAGAGGUGACAUAAUACCAUUUUAAUCAUUCCCACACUUUUUUCCCAUCCCUUCCUUACUUUAUCUUUCCUUCCUUUUUUCCUCCCUUCCUUCUUCUUUCCCUCCCUCCUUCCCUCUCACUUUCCCAGCUUCCUUCCUUUCUUCCUUCUUUUUUUCCUUCUUUUUUUGUUUCCUUCCUUCCCUCUUACCUUCCUUCUCUCCUUUCUUCCUUCCAUCCUUCCUUCUUUCCUUUUUCCAUUUUUCUCUUCCUGCUCCAUUCCCUAUCUUUUUUAUGUACAUAUAUACAUAUAUAAAUACAAUUUUACAUUUCUUAAGCUAACAUAUUAUGCCUUUCAUUGCCUGAGUCUGACUUACAGGUAUCUAUUGUAUAUUGUAAAUAUGAAUUUUUAUAGUACCCAUUUCACAUUUAAGAACAGAAAGGCCAAAGAUAGAAAAUAGUGACAUGCAAAAGGUUGAUAUAUAGAUACCUUCUUGACUUGCCAUUUUUUUUUAUACUUUAAAAUAGUACAUUAAUGAUACUAAGCAUGCAUUUUUCCAUUCAGGCUGCAAGAUUUUGAGGGCCCCAAAUUAACCAUUCUCCCACAGUUAAAAGUAAUGAAAUUGUACUCCAAGGAAGAUUAAUUUCAUUUCUUUCAGGGGAUAUGCUCAAGUGUUAGUCAACUAACAUUUAUUAGGUGCCUAUUAUGUGCCUGGACUGUGCCAUGUGCUGGGGAUAUGAGUAUGAAAUGUUUUCUCCAGACUCAGCACUAUAACAUGUGAUACCUGAAAACAAACCUAUUGGUAGAUUUCUCACUUUACAUUGCUCCCCUAGGAGUAGAGCAAGUUGAGAAAUAGGCUGGAAAAUGUUGACAUGUAUGCAGACAUAUGAAGUAUAUCAGUGAUAUAUGUUUACUAUUUUAACCGUUUUUUAAACCAAACUCAGUGUUCUAACAUCAGCAUUAUGUUUUGCAGUGUGUUUGCAGUGCUUUCUCUCUUGUGUUUUUGCAAAGGGCUUUGACUGGGCUGGACCCAGUUCCUGCAUAGGGGGUAUGCUUUUACAAUAUCAACUUUUCUUCCUUUCAUUAAAUAGUAGAGCAUUCCCAGCCUCUCCUCACAAAAUCCCCAAAUCCCAACAACAACAACAACAAAACUGUACCUGGUAUUUUGUUUUAACAUACACUGAUUCAUGC
rnacentral:lncRNA from 1 species